GAUGAACGCUGGCGGCGUGCCUAAUACAUGCAAGUCGAGCGAACAGACGAGGAGCUUGCUCCUCUGACGUUAGCGGCGGACGGGUGAGUAACACGUGGAUAACCUACCUAUAAGACUGGGAUAACUUCGGGAAACCGGAGCUAAUACCGGAUAUUAUAUUGAACGUCAUGGUUCAUUAGUGAAAACCGGUUUUGCUUUCCCUUAUAGAUGUUUCCGCGCCGCAUUAGCUAGUUGGUAAGGUAACGGCUUACCAAGGCAACGAUGCGUAGCCGGCCUGAGAGGGUGAUCGGCCACACUGGAACUGAGACACGGGCCAGACUCCUACGGGAGGCAGCAGUAGGGAAUCUUGCGCAAUGGGCGAAAGCCUGACGGAGCAACGCCGCGUGAGUGAUGAAGGUCUUCGGAUCGUAAAACUCUGUUAGUAGGGAAGAACAAAUGUGUAAGUAACUAUGCACGUCUUGACGGUACCUAAUCAGAAAGCCACGGCUAACUACGUG
rnacentral:rRNA from 1 species